rnacentral:rRNA from 1 species
GCAGUGGGAGCACAGGUUUACCUGUGUGACUGCGUACCUUUUGUAUAAUGGGUCAGCGACUUAUAUUCUGUAGCAAGGUUAACCGAAUAGGGGAGCCGGAGGGAAACCGAGUCUUAAUUGGGCGUUAAGUUGCAGGGUAUAGACCCGAAACCCGGUGAUCUAGCCAUGGGCAGGUUGAAGGUUGGGUAACACUAACUGGAGGACCGAACCGACUAAUGUUGAAAAAUUAGCGGAUGACCUGUGGCUGGGGGUGAAAGGCCAAUCAAACCGGGAGAUAGCUGGUUCUCCCCGAAAGCUAUUUAGGUAGCGCCUCGUGAAUUCAUCUCCGGGGGUAGAGCACUGUUUCGGCUAGGGGGCCAUCCCGGCUUACCAACCCGAUGCAAACUGCGAAUACCGGAGAAUGUUAUCACGGGAGACACACGGCGGGUGCUAACGUCCGUCGUGAAGAGGGAAACAACCCAGACCGCCAGCUAAGGUCCCAAAGUCAUGGUUAAGUGGGAAACGAUGUGGGAAGGCCCAGACAGCCAGGAUGUUGGCUUAGAAGCAGCCAUCAUUUAAAGAAAGCGUAAUAGCUCACUGGUCGAGUCGGCCUGCGCGGAAGAUGUAACGGGGCUAAACCAUGCACCGAAGCUGCGGCAGCGACACUGUGUGUUGUUGGGUAGGGGAGCGUUCUGUAAGCCUGUGAAGGUGUGUCGUGAGGCAUGCUGGAGGUAUCAGAAGUGCGAAUGCUGACAUAAGUAACGAUAAAGCGGGUGAAAAGCCCGCUCGCCGGAAGACCAAGGGUUCCUGUCCAACGUUAAUCGGGGCAGGGUGAGUCGACCCCUAAGGCGAGGCCGAAAGGCGUAGUCGAUGGGAAACGGGUUAAUAUUCCCGUACUUGGUGUUACUGCGAAGGGGGGACGGAGAAGGCUAUGUUGGCCGGGCGACGGUUGUCCCGGUUUAAGCGUGUAGGUGUGUGUUCCAGGUAAAUCCGGUUCACUUUAACACUGAGGCGUGACGACGAGGCACUACGGUGCUGAAGCAACAAAUGCCCUGCUUCCAGGAAAAGCCUCUAAGCAUCAGGUAACAUCAAAUCGUACCCCAAACCGACACAGGUGGUCAGGUAGAGAAUACCAAGGCGCUUGAGAGAACUCGGGUGAAGGAACUAGGCAAAAUGGUGCCGUAACUUCGGGAGAAGGCACGCUGACACGUAGGUGAAGUGAUUUACUCAUGGAGCUGAAGUCAGUCGAAGAUACCAGCUGGCUGCAACUGUUUAUUAAAAACACAGCACUGUGCAAACACGAAAGUGGACGUAUACGGUGUGACGCCUGCCCGGUGCCGGAAGGUUAAUUGAUGGGGUCAGCGCAAGCGAAGCUCCUGAUCGAAGCCCCGGUAAACGGCGGCCGUAACUAUAACGGUCCUAAGGUAGCGAAAUUCCUUGUCGGGUAAGUUCCGACCUGCACGAAUGGCGUAAUGAUGGCCAGGCUGUCUCCACCCGAGACUCAGUGAAAUUGAACUCGCUGUGAAGAUGCAGUGUACCCGCGGCAAGACGGAAAGACCCCGUGAACCUUUACUAUAGCUUGACACUGAACAUUGAGCCUUGAUGUGUAGGAUAGGUGGGAGGCUUUGAAGUGUGGACGCCAGUCUGCAUGGAGCCGACCUUGAAAUACCACCCUUUAAUGUUUGAUGUUCUAACGUGGACCCGUUACCCGGGUUGCGGACAGUGUCUGGUGGGUAGUUUGACUGGGGCGGUCUCCUCCUAAAGAGUAACGGAGGAGCACGAAGGUUGGCUAAUCCUGGUCGGACAUCAGGAGGUUAGUGCAAUGGCAUAAGCCAGCUUGACUGCGAGCGUGACGGCGCGAGCAGGUGCGAAAGCAGGUCAUAGUGAUCCGGUGGUUCUGAAUGGAAGGGCCAUCGCUCAACGGAUAAAAGGUACUCCGGGGAUAACAGGCUGAUACCGCCCAAGAGUUCAUAUCGACGGCGGUGUUUGGCACCUCGAUGUCGGCUCAUCACAUCCUGGGGCUGAAGUAGGUCCCAAGGGUAUGGCUGUUCGCCAUUUAAAGUGGUACGCGAGCUGGGUUUAGAACGUCGUGAGACAGUUCGGUCCCUAUCUGCCGUGGGCGCUGGAGAACUGAGGGGGGCUGCUCCUAGUACGAGAGGACCGGAGUGGACGCAUCACUGGUGUUCGGGUUGUCAUGCCAAUGGCACUGCCCGGUAGCUAAAUGCGGAAGAGAUAAGUGCUGAAAGCAUCUAAGCACGAAACUUGCCCCGAG